UGAAACUCCUUUCGCAAUAAAGGUCCACCAAUGGCGGCAACCCCACUCGUCAUUAUUCAAAAGGUAAUCCACGGGUUCAAAGAGUAAAAACAAGUCAUUCGAUAUGUGGGAUGGUUUCAACAUUAUUCAAAUUCGCAAUAACUCUAUCCUAAGUAAAAUAAUGCUGGUUGUUACUGAAAUGAGGGUUGAGUAUUAAAGCUCUUCAUGAAGUUCAGUACUGAAACACAGGUACCUCUAAAAGUAACAAAAGUACUGGAAGAACUUCAUUUAAACAAACUUCUAGUUAGUGUCGCCUCAAUUGAGAGUUGGAGUUUCUCUCUUAAAAAUUUUUCGAAUAGGAUGAACGCAAGGCCAUAACAGUCCUAAGCGAGUUAUGAGGAACUUGAGAACACGUGAUACUCGUGUGUGUGUUCGAACCGGUAUUGUCAAAUGGAAUAAUUAGUUCAAGGCAACGGCUACCUUUGAUUCCGACUUUACUUUGUUUGUAUUACACUAUGGCUGGAUUCAAGUCGAAAGAUAUCUAAUCCUUAUGCAUGAGUAUAGUAUGAUUUGAGUAUGUGAUUCUUUAUUGAAUUUCGAACAAGUGGUGACUGUUGAAUUAUUGUUCAAAAAUUUAACUAAAAAAUGAAGAGGAAUGAAACUAAUAAAAACUAAAAAAACUGCAUUGAAGGCCUCAAUUUGUGCCAUGCGACCUUACAGGGAAAAUAGAGGCCGGUUUAAGUUGUUCCAUGCAACCGCAUGGAUGGUUAUUAAAAUUAGACCGUUGGAGGUCGUUUCUUGUCAUUGGAAAUUCAAGUUUUGGUGGCUUUUCAACCUAUUUUGGUGCUAUUUCUACACACUUGGUGUUUGCCUAUAAAU
rnacentral:lncRNA from 1 species